rnacentral:lncRNA from 1 species
GAGCCGGCCGUACCUGCGGGCCCGCGAAGUAAGAGGGAGAGGCGUCCGAGGAGGACGUGGGCCCCGGAGCGGGAAGCGCCGGGUCGCGGGACAAUGGCUGGGAAGACGGAGCUCCGGCUGUCGGCGGAGAUUCGAGGGAAGCGGCGGCGUCCGCGCAGGACGGCUCUUCGGGUGGGAGGAGCCCCAGCACCUUGCCCUGUGGGGUUCACCCGGCCUCCCGCCCUGGGUUAGCCGAGGCGGCUGUGUGUGCGUCUGUGUACACAGCACAUUUUUUCUUCUCGGUUUCUUUCUUUGAGAACCCAAUUUGAAGGAAUUUUGCAGAUUUUGUUGCUAUUUAAACAAAAAGAAAGCGGCCCGCGUCUGAAGGCGGCGCUGGCCUUAAGGUCAGCAGGCGACCCCACGAGGCCGGAGGAGCUCUGCAAACGAUGGGAGAGGCGGCAGCGGCGAGGUGUCCGGGAUUCAGAUCGCGCCAGGCCUGAUCCAGACCUUGGAUGGCUUGGCAGCGUGGUUGCCAGGCCGGGCGGCCCCGGAAGAGGGCUUGGCCUCCCCAGGAGAGGCUAGAGAGAGACUCCUGCUCCCGGAAGCCAGGCUGCCAUGGGCACCAGCUCCCCGGGGUUCCAGGUGCCCCUAAGCUUUCUCCACGCUCUAGGAAAGGCCUUCUAGCAAAGGACCCAGGCGAGAAGAGGUGCUGAGGUGUCCCAACUCUGGUUGAAUUGACCAGAUGAAGAAGAGAAACCUAGGUGGCUUUAGUGAAGCUGUUGACCUGCAAAUGUCAAAAGCCUUUUCUUUGAGACUCAUGGCUCUGCAAGUCUGAAGAAGAUUAGGAAGCAAGACAGGAUUGUGGCAAGGUUCAAACCUUUUGACUUUGGGUAACAACGUAAGGUUUUCUGUUAAAGGGCACUUCCUGUUGUGGCAGGGUGCACCAGGCAACCUCAGAUUGGGCCUCUGCCCCUCUGGGAGCACUGUGACUUGGAAAGACCCCAAAAAAGUAAUCUUUUUUUUUUUAAUACUGAGAAUCCAACUCAGAACAUUGCGCUUGCCAGGCAGUCUGCCACGCAAUCUCGGUGCCAUUGAGCUACAUCCCGGCCUCAAGGGUAAUCUCUUUAUGUGGAAAUUCUGAGGUAGCAUCAUAUGAAGCGAGAGCUCCUAACUUGGAUCUGUGGAAUUCAUUCUUUUGAUGGAAGACCAUGCACUUUUCCCUCAAGGAGGGCUCACUACUAGUCAGGGAAUCCUACAGCCAGUCACACCACUCCGGUGGUCACUCCGGAGCUUCCAGUGGUUGAGAGCCUUGACCCCCAGGUCAGCCUCGGGAGAAAUAACUAUGACUACACAACAAUACCCAUAAUACCUAAGCCCUUCAAAAAUAGAGUGUUUCUGUUGCUGCUGUAUGACUCAGACUUUGUCCUCCAAGGAAAAAAACAGUUUAAAAGAGCAAAACAAUAAAUGAGAAGGGCAAAAUAGUAAAUUGAUUUAAACAAAGUCAGCUUCAAUUCUCUUCCAGAGAGGAGGAUACGGUGCAGGCUGCGUGGUAAAUCAUUUAUUCAUCCACAGUAUUUCUUGGGAUGCUGCGUGCAGCUGGCAAGAACAGGACUCAUUUCCGGUUCCAUACCGUAAAUCAGUUAGCAUGAUCUGGUUAUGCUUGGGCAAUAUUUUAAAACAUUCGAGCACAAAUUAAUAUAUUAUUACUUAGCUUUGCAUUGAAGCACAUGUGCCUAUUUUAAUGAAGAAACCCCUUCUCCAAUCAGCCCUGGGGCUUUCUCCAACACACUUUGCUUUUUUCAUGUUAGGUCUUUUUAUGGACCUGUAAGAAGCUUUAAUUAGAUAUACAGCACUGUACAAAGUGACAAGAUGGAACAUGCACACUUGCAUUAGAGUCUCUGUGAUUCAGAUCUCAAAAAACAACAUAAUGCCACUGAUAUACAGAAGGAGUUGUUUAUUGGAAGGAAACCAGGGAGGUGCAACAAAUUAGAUCAAGAUGUGAAAAUCAAGCAGACUCAUGAAAAAAAUUGCCAUUUUUACUUUGGAACUCUCUCCAAAGGAGCAUGUGUAACAAGAGAACAGUUUGACGAUUUUAGUUUUCUUAAGAAUAUUUGGACUUGUUUUAUGGCCUAUCUUAAAGAAUGCCCUAUGUGUACUUGGAAAGAAUAUGUAUGUUGUAAAAAUAAAUGCUGACGAGGAUGCCGGGUGAAGAAACUCUACACUGCUGAUGGGAAUGCAAAUUAGUACAGACACUAUGGAAAUCAUUAUGGAGAUUCCUCAAAAAAACCUAAAAAUAGAACUGCCAUAUGACUGAAGCUAUACCACUCCUUGGUCUAGACCUAAAUGAACUAAAGCCAGCAUCCUCUAGGAAUACCUGCAUCCCUGUGUUUAUCAUGGUACAAUUCACAGUAGUCAAGAUGUGGAACGAACCAGCCUAGGUGUCCAUCAAGAGAUGAAUGGAUAAAGGAAAUGCAUUAUAUUUUAUGUAUACAUUAUACAUUACAAUGUGAAUAAUAUAUAAUGGAGUAUUAUUUAGCUGUAAAGAAGGGGAAGUAUGUCAUUUGCAAGAAAAUGGAUGGAACUGGAGAUCUUCAUAUUAAAAUAAGCCAGACUCAGAAAGACAUGUAUCACGUGUUCUCCGUAGUAUGUGGGAACAUAAAACAAAAUGGUGUGAAAGUAGAAGGGAAACUAUUACUAGACAAGAGGAAAGAAAUAAGGGAAGGGGAAUGUAAGGGGGCUAAUAGGAAAGAUGGAUCUGAUUAAAAUACAUGCGUGUAUGAAAAUACUGCCUUAAAACCCAAUGUUUUGUAAAAUUAAUAGACACUAAUACAAUAUAGUUUAAAAACAAGAAGUGCGCAUUCUGUUGUUACUGGAUGGGGUGAUCUGUAUCAGUUAGAUCCUGUUGGUGAAUGGGGUUGUUCAAGUUUUCUUUAAUCGUGGUGAUUUUCUGGUAGCUAUUCUAUCGAUUAUUGAGAGUAGGUAUAAAAAUCUCCAGAAAUUUGCUCCUUCCUUCAAACAAGGGUGAACCCUUGAACAGCAGAUGGGGAUUUCAUGCCAUGAUCAUGUGAUACAGCAGAAAGCUGUCUGAGGAUCUACUCUCAUCACGUGAGCCCUGCAGCAACAGUGAAUUCUCUACGGUUUGUGGGCAGAAGAGGAAAUUAGACAAACUCAAAGCAUGAGAAGAACCCAUGUACCGUUGCUUUGAAGAUGGAGGGCCCACACAGAUAGGACCAGAAUGAAGCCUCUAGAAGCUACAUGAUCCCCAGUCGACAGCUAAAAAGCAGGACCUCAGUCCUACAGCUGCAAAGAAUUGAAUUCUUCCAGCAACCUGACUGAGCUUGGUGGCAGAUUGUUUCCUGGAGCCUCAAGAUAACAGCCAUUAUGUGAUUUCAGCCUGGGGAGGCACUGGGCAGAGAACGUGGUCCGGGCAGCUGGACAUCUGCCCAACAGAACCAUAUGUUGCUAAGGCUAAGUUGCUGAGACUGUGGUCACUUGUUAGGUGGUGUUAGAAAAUGAAUACGGCUGUGUCAAGUUUUACUCCACCAUGGUUACAAGUCCUGCCUCCUUGCAGAGUUAAUAUUGAAAAAUAAAAUUCGAGAUUUCUGAAUUCUUUUAACAAAUGGAAAGAUCUUGUCAUUGGAGAUUUAAAUUUCUAAUGUCUGCUAGAACGGAACAGUGGUUCUCCAUAUACUCCUGCUAGCCAGGGUCUAGCUCCUCUGGUUCACCUGUCUUUCACACCAAGCCAACAUCCCCAAUUACAGGCCUGGCUGGGGAAUUUGUGAAUCUGUGACGCUGGAUUGGCACGUGCCCAGCUGGUAGUGAAUGCUCAGGUGCAGUUGCUGAAUUAGUGAGCAGGCAACAUGUAGGAGGCACUUACACAUGGCCAGGAAAUGGACAUAGGGGAGGACAAGGCUGGUGGCGAUGUAUCCUUCAGUGCACCCAGGGAGGGC